rnacentral:lncRNA from 1 species
GUUUGAAGGUGGGAACUCAUAGCCAAAAGUAACACUUCCUAGUACUCAACUUAACAUCCUAAGGAAACAUAGCAAAUAGCAUGAGCAACUCCCUUGUUAUACUCUAGCUUCUCUAGGCCUAUCAAUACUCCUUAUGCCUCUACACAAGUUGCAAUACUCAUCAACCAAUAAGUUCUUUAAACCAGCUCUCACAUUGAUUCACACACACACACAUGGUGAGUUCUCACAAAUGGGCACAUGAUCUCAAUCAUUUGGCUAGGUAAGUAUGGUCUAGUAUGAAAUAAGAGAGAAGGGUUCAAAUGUCAUCAUUUCAAGGUGGCUAUCACUCAAAAACAAGGAGCUUGAUCAUUAUGCAAAAUUUAUCUAAGAUUAGAAGCAACUCAUGCAUACAUAGAUUCAUUCUCAACAUACUACCCCCUUUUGUUAUAAGUAAUCUCAAGUUCUACCCCCCUUUUUAUCAUCAUCUCAAAAUCAAAGCAAACCCCUCACAUCACUCACCCAAUGAACAACUCUCUUUUUCUUUUGACUCAACUACUAGGUAUUUUAACUCACUAUUUACAAACUCUAACUCUUUUUUUUCAUUCCCUUCCCCAACUUCUCUUUGAUUCUUCUUUUUUUUUUUUAUUAGGGGGAAGGUUCUUUGUUACAUAAUCAAGAGCUUCAUAUUUUCUUUUUAUCCCUAGAGUUUUCAUUUCUAUUUAAUCUCUUUUGCUCAUCUCUCUCAUCUUUCUCACUCUCUAAAACCCAAGAUAUUAACAUUUAGAACACACAAACCCCUCUCACCAUCCCCAAAUGCUAGCUCAUUUUGCUAGCAAGAGAUGAGAACAAAUCUAUAUCGUCUUCAAUACUCUCAAGAUUUUGCACAUGACAAGCUAUCAAAAGAGGCCACUCAUGCAAUUAAGUGUUUGGUCUCAAAGAAUGGCUAGGGUUGUGGGGUAUGGAGUGCCAUUUGGGUUAACAAAUAUUGGUAUAUAAAGGAAUAAGAUAACCCAAAUGUGUAUGAGAUCCAUGAUCAAGUAUGCAAAUGCUCAUAUUCAAGAGAGAUUAAGUUCAUUCAAGCCAAGUUC